UACGAAGGGGGCUAGCGUUGUUCGGAUUUACUGGGCGUAAAGCGCACGUAGGCGGCUCGUUAAGUCGGGGGUGAAAUCCUGGAGCUCAACUCCAGAACUGCCUUCGAUACUGGCGAUCUUGAGUCCGGAAGAGGUGAGUGGAACUCCUAGUGUAGAGGUGGAAUUCGUAGAUAUUAGGAGGAACACCGGUGGCGAAGGCGGGUCUCUGGGCCGAUACUGACGCUGAGGAGCGAAAGCGUGGGGAGCGAACAGG
rnacentral:rRNA from 1 species